rnacentral:lncRNA from 1 species
CGGACGGAAGCUUUCCCCCCAUCAGCGGGUCUCCACUGAAUCAGUGGCAGGAGUUCUGGAUGAUCCCCCAGUCGCGCGGCCCCUCCCCCGCUCCUUCCCAACCCUCGCGCAGCGACCGCAGACGCUAGGGGAGGAAGCGAUGUUCUCUCCUACCGUUCCAGCGCCCCCGAAGGGGUAUUGAUACGCAAAACAACAAAUAUGAUCUCCAUGUCUGCUUCUGGAGAACCAAUCUAUGACAGUUCUUAUUUGGAAUAUCUGAGAAAGAAAGAUAGAAGUGGAGUUUUUCAGCUAGAUGUUUGAUCCUUCUGGCAAUGAGGACCCCAUCACUGGUGAUUAGCCCUGAGCUGACUACUGCCAAUCCUCCUCUUUUUGCUGAGGAAGACUGGCCCUGAGCUACCAUCCGUGCCCGUCUUCCUCUACUUUAUAUGUGGGACGCCUACCACAGCAUGGCGUGCCAAGCGGUGCCACGUCCACACCUGGGAUCUGAAGCAGCGAACACUGCCGAAGCAGAACGUAUGAACUUAACCACUGUGCCACCGGGCCAGCUCCCAAAUGGUAUUUCUUUGUGAAUCAUUGGCUAACAUUAUUUUCCAUAAAUUUCUGGAAAGUUUUUUUUUUAUUUUUCCAUUCACGUGUUUCCACAUUAAAUAUUUUUUCUUCACAGCCGCAUUUUUGAGUCCUGUUUAAUCUUUCUUUCUUAAACAUUUGGUCUAGAUUAAUU